rnacentral:misc_RNA from 1 species
GGAAGUUUAGCCAGCCUUGAUGAACAACAAAUGGAGGAGCUAGCUUUCGGAUUGAUACUGACAAAAUGUUACUUCUUGUGGGUUGUUAGAGCUACAGAAGAGAAUAAACUCCCUGAGGAAUUCAUGUCCAAGUUAUUCGAAAAAGGACUAAUGGUGAAUUGGUGCCCUCAGCUCGAUGUAUUGGCUCAUCGAUCAGUUGGUUGUUU